rnacentral:rRNA from 1 species
UACGUAGGUCGCAAGCGUUGUCCGGAUUUACUGGGCGUAAAGCGCGCGCAGGCGGCUGGUCAAGUCCGAUGUGAAAUCUCCCGGCUCAACUGGGAAACUGCAUUGGAAACUGAUCGGCUUGAAGGUGGGAGAGGGUAGUGGAAUUCCCGGUGUAGUGGUGAAAUGCGUUGAGAUCGGAAGGAACGCCCGUGGCGAAGGCACUCUACUGGGCCAUUACUGACACUAAGAGACGAAAGCUAGGGGAGCAAAUGGG